GAUGAACGCUGGCGGCGUGCCUAAUACAUGCAAGUCGAGCGAACAGACGAGGAGCUUGCUCCUCUGACGUUAGCGGCGGACGGGUGAGUAACACGUGGAUAACCUACCUCUAAGACUGGGAUAACUUCGGGAAACCGGCGCUAAUACCGGAUAAUAUAUUGAACCGCAUGGUUCAAUAGUGAAAGACGGUUUUGCUGUCACUUAUAGAUGGAUCCGCGCCGCAUUAGCUAGUUGGUAAGGUAACGGCUUACCAAGGCAACGAUGCGUAGCCGACCUGAGAGGGUGAUCGGCCACACUGGAACUGAGACGCGGUCCAGACUCCUACGGGAGGCAGCAGUAGGGAAUCUUCCGCGAUGGGCGAAAGCCUGACGGAGCAACGCCGCGUGAGUGAUGAAGGUCUUCGGAUGGUAAAACUCUGUUAUUAGGGAAGAACAAAUGUGUAAGUAACUAUACACGUCGUGACGGUACCUAAUCAGAAAGCCACGGCUAACUACGUG
rnacentral:rRNA from 1 species